CCUCUGGGAUUGUAGCACAGGGCAAGGUCCUUCCUCCACAAGCCGGCCCCUGUUGUGGGAGGUGCUGGACGUGGCAGGAGAAUUGUGGCGGCCUUGCCUGAAAGCAGGCUGUGGGCGGGGAGGGGCCCCGAGCUGGCUCAGUCCCCUCGGCAGAUUUGUGUGCGACCUGGGGUCCCGCUCUCCCCGCAGCCCCUCAGCUUGGCCUGGCCCUCAGCACCCCCAUGCUAAAGACCGAGGAGGAAAGGAGGACAGGAGGUGAGGGGAGACCAAGGGGUCCCCCCUGUGGGAGCUUCGUGUGCCAGGCUGCGGGCAACGGGCUGGGGAGGGCUGUGGUGGGGACCGCACCAGCUGUAGCCGGUUCCAGGCUCCCCCCUCCAGGUGGCCCUGGGCGGUGACAGCUCACCCUUGGCAGCGGCACCCACUAGGCCCAGCGGCCCCCUCUGGGGACAGCCAUCUUCACCCUGUUGGCUGUGGUGACACAGAUGGGGUGUGAAGACCUGAGCGCCUGUGACUAUGGCACCUGCAUCCGACCGAGCCGGCUCAGCGUGGCUGUGCCCUGGGCGGCGAGAACACAGCUCUGCAGAUGUGUCCCAGUGGGACAGUGUGCUCCUGGGGCUUGCAGAGAAAGACGGGCGGACGCCCACACUCUGCUGUGCCCUGGGUCUGAGCCUCAGCCUCCCAUGCCCGUGAAAUGGGCACCCAUGGAGCUCAGAAGUAUCCAGAGCGUCCCUGAGGCCUAGACACAGGGAACCCUGUGCCCCUCAGUGCCCCCCGACGCCAGCAGAACUGCCCCCUAAAAAGAGAGGCAUGUUCCUGACAGUCCCCCUUGAGGGCAGGUCCCAGAGCCUCCCCACGCACAGAGCAGGGUGGAGGGAGGCUGAGGGGUGGGUGAACGGCCCGGGAAGGGUGCCUUUGGGUCCCUUGGGUUCGGGUGGCCCGGGAUGACCCGUCCUGGGGAGAGUCCGUCUGGGCAGGCGGCUGGCAGGGCCGAUGCCUGAACUAUGUGGCACAGAAGCUGCAGGCCAGGCCUGAGUGGGGUGGGCAGGGAGCGCGGGGGGUGACUCAGUGGGGCAGGACAGCAUGUCUCCUGGACAGAAAUAGCCCUGGCCAGGCAUGACCGCGGCAUUGCCGUGGCGACGGGGGAGCGGCUGCUGCCGGGUGCCCUGGGGCCCACCCCCCACAGACACCCAGCAGCGUCCCAGGCGGGCCCCGGGAGGGCCGCCCCCUCUCCGUGCUGCGGGGCGCUUGUGCCAGUGAGGUGCGGGUGGAGGUGCCAGGCACUGGGGGAGGGGGCCUCAGCAAGACCCCCGACUCCACCCCUCUCUCCCAGCCUUCAGCUCCCUGCUGUACAGACUGGGGGCUCCUGGACGCCUGGGCUCACUCAGCCCCCGAGAGGAGUGGAUGAUCUUUCUAAAGGAAGGCGUUUGGGGUCCACCCAGAAAGUGGGGAGGGCUCCAUCCCUGGGUUUCAGGAUUUUACUACUAGACUGCGAAAGUCUGGGCCUCCUUUUUCAGCACAAGGCGGGCGGCCCCCGCGUGCCCUAGUCCAG
rnacentral:lncRNA from 1 species